rnacentral:rRNA from 1 species
CCUACGGGAGGCAGCAGUGAGGAAUAUUGGUCAAUGGACGAGAGUCUGAACCAGCCAAGUCGCGUGAAGGAUGACGGCCCUAUGGGUUGUAAACUUCUUUUAUAAAGGAAUAAAACGAGGCACGUGUGCCUUUUUGCAUGUACUUUAUGAAUAAGGAUCGGCUAACUCCGUGCCCGCAGCCGCGGUAAUACGGAGGAUCCGAGCGUUAUCCGGAUUUCUUGGGGUUAAAGGGAGCGUAGAUGGGUUGUUAAGUCAGUUGUGAAAGUUUGCGGCUCAACCGUAAAAUUGCAAUUGAUACUGGCAGUCUUGAGUACAGGUGAGGUAGGCGGAAUUCGUGGUGUAGCGGUGAAAUGCUUAGAUAUCACGAAGAACCCCGAUUGCGAAGGCAGCUUACUAAACUGUGACUGACAUUGAUGCUCGAAAGUGUGGGUAUCAAACAGGAUUAGAUACCCUUGUAGUC